ACACGCUUUCCCUACACGACGCUCUUCUGUUUUAUUACUGAAUAUGAUGCUCUCUUGUUGCCGUGCUUUAAGACAGGUUUUAACAUCCAGUCAUUAGAGUUUUUCAGU